UCAGAAAUGUGCUACAAAUUCUUUAGAGGAGAGAGGAGCAGAACUUCUUCAAGCUGCUUCAAUUGUGGCAUCUUGCAACGCUAUUCGAGUUAUAGGAUUAAAGAGUUGAACUGCAUACUGAGUGAUCCGAGAUAUGACCUCAUAAAGUGAAGACCAGUACUUUGCUGAUGCUGACUUCUCUGGAAGGAAGAUUAAGCUGGUUACUUCUCGCAGAGCAUGUCC